rnacentral:lncRNA from 1 species
UUAGGACACUGUUUAAUGUAACAUGAGCAAUCCUCUACGGACGGCUUGCAGAAACAUGGAUUUCGAAGUGGUGAUAAAAAUGCAUAAUGUCUCGUGUAAUCACAUCGACAUGUAGAAUCGCUGAUAGUUGACGUAUUGUCGAACACUAGUUGUCCAGUUUCACUACAUGGUGACUUUAAAUAUAAGCAAUCAGUGCUUCGAUUUGUCCGAAAUGUAAAUGGUUGAUAUCUCUCUUCAGAACACUUUACAUUUCUAUACGUCCCAGAGAUAACAUAUUUCAAGCCU